GUGAACCGGAAGUUUUUUUUAUAUCGGCCGUCGGCUCGUUAGCAAGCUAAAUUACUUUUAAAGAUAAUUUUUCUUUACGAUUUUUGGACCAGCGCGGCGCAGAGCGGGAAGACAGCUGAACUGCGCCAGGCUCGGUGAGAGCUGAAAGGCCUGCUGAGAACAAUGGCUGACAUGAGGAGAAACAUGCAGGAUCACCACCUGAACUUCUGACGGAAGGGAGGAAGGAGAAUAUCAAUAAUGUGCUUGUUAUUGAAAGGCAGGAAGUGAGGAAAGGGGAAAAGGAUGAAAAGUUUCAGGAGCAACACUCUGAAAACUGCUGAUUCAGUCAAAACUAACGUUAGAGGGAUGUGAGAAUGAGAUGAACUUCCUUGAAGAUGCCUUGUAUAGACCUAUCGUCUAUACAAAAACCAAAAAAGCAUUAGUAGAGCCUUCCGCACAACUAACUAAUGAGAAUGCAGCAGGUGGUUUCUGGAUGAAAUUUGGCGAACCAAUCCUCGGAGAUCCGGCUCAGAGAACAGAAGCUGUUUGCUAUUCCAGCAGGGGAUUAAGUGUUUCCUCACAUGCGGCACAUUAAUCCACGCGCCCUGAAUCCUUCACCGCACGUGCCAGACGCUUCGCCACUCCAGCGCCGAUCCAUUACAACUCCAGUCCAACACCACCGAAACCAAUUUCUUCUGGUUUUAUCGAGGUUAUACGUGUCCAGAUACGGCAGCCAUUAAAUUAAUUAAAAA